GGUCAGGUAGCCUAGCGGUUAAGGCAGCCCACGCGUGUUUUGGGUCCGGAUCCGUUGGAUCUGGUUCAAAUCGAGCCCCGACCA